CUUGGUUGAUCAUGCUAGUAGUCAUAUGCUUGUCUCAAAGAUUAAGCCAUGCAUGUCUAAGUAUGAAAUAACUUAGGCUGUGUAAUUGUGAAUAGCUCAUUAAAUCAAUCAUAGUUUGUUUGAUAGAUCUACUACUCGAAUAACCAUAGUAAUUCUAGAGCUAAUAUGUGUAACAAACCCUAACUUCUAGAGGGAUGCAUUUAUUAGAUAAAAGAUCGAUGAGGGCUUUACCCAUUGCUCUGAUGAUUCAUGAUAACUCAACAAAUUGCAUGGCCUUUGCGCCAGCGAUGCAUCAUUCAAAAUUUUGCCCUAUCAAUUUUUGCCUAUAUGGUGGUGAUGGGUGAUGGAAAAUUAGGGUUCAAUUCUAUAAAGAGAGCUUAAGAAAUAGCUACCACAUUCGAGGAAAGUAGUAGGUGCACAAAUUACCCAAUCCUAACAUGAGGAGGUAGUGACAAUAAAUAACAAUACUAGGUUCUAUGAAUCUGGUAAUUGAAAUGAGUAUAAUCUAUAUCCCUUAAUAAGGAUCCAUAUGAGGGCAAGUCUUAUGCCAAUAGCUAUAGUAAUUCUAGCUCUAAUAGCGUAUAUUUUAGUUGUUGUAGUAAAAAAGCUCAUAGUUGAAACUAAAGUAGGUCAUCGAUCCAUCUCACAUUGAGCACCAAUCUACUUGUCCCUACUACAGAUGAUGCCCUCAUGGCCUUAACUGGCCAGAUCAUUCCUCUAGUGUUAUUCCUUUAAAAAAAUUAGAGUGCUUAAAGCAAGCUUACACUUGUAUACAUUAGCAUGGGAUAACAUUAUAGCAUUUUGGUCCUAUUAUGUUGGCCUUCGGGAUCAAAGUAAUGAUUAACAUGGACAAUUAGGGGCAUUCAUUUUUCAUAGUAAGAGGUGGAAUUCUUGGAUUUAUGAAAGAUGAACAACUAUGAAAGCAUUUACCAAGGAUGUUUUCAUUAAUCAAGAAUGAAUGUUAGGGGCUUGAAGACGAUCAGAUGCCAUUCUAGUCUCUACCAUAAAUGAUGCUGACCAAGGAUCGGAGGAUGUUAUUUUUAGGAUUUCGCUAGCACCUUAUGAGAAAUCAAAGUCUUUAGGUUUCGAGGGGAGUAUGAUCCUAAGGUUAAAACUUAAAGAAAUUGACUAAAGGGCACCACCAAGAGUGAAGCAAGUAGCUUGAUUUGACUCAAAAUGAAGAAACCUACUAGGUCCAAAUAUAAUAAAUAUUGACUGAUUGAGAGUUCUUUCUUGAUUUUAUGGGUGGUGGUGCAUGGCCAUUCUUAAUUGGUGGAGUGAUUUGUCUAGUUAAUUCUGUUAAUGAACAAGACCGUAGCCUGCUAACUAGCUAUAAGAAGGUGAUCCUUCAUGGAUAACUUCUUAGAGGGACUAUGGCCACUUAGGCCAAGGAAGUUUGAGGCAAUAACAGGUCUAUUAUGCCCUUAGAUGUUCUAGGCCACAAGCAUGCUACACUAAUGUAUUAACUAGUCUAUAUCCUUGGCUGACAUGCCUAGUUAAUCUUUGAAAUUUCAUUGUGAUGGGGAUAGAUCAUUCCAAUUGUUGGUCUUCAACAAGGAAUUCCCAACAAGUGCAAGUCAUUAGCUUAUGUUGACUAAGUCCCUGCCCUUUGUACACACUGCUUGUCACUUCUACUGAUUGAAUGGUCUAAUGAAGUGUUUGGAUCAUAAUGAUGUGGAUAGUUUGCUGCUUGCGACAUCAUAAAAAGUCCACUAAACCUUAUCAUUUAGAAGAAGGAGAAGUUAUAACAAGGUUUCUACAAAUGACCCUAAAGAAG
rnacentral:rRNA from 1 species